UACGUAGGCAGCAAGCGUUGUUCGGAAUUACUGGGCGUAAAGAGUGUGUAGGCGGUGCUCUAAGUUUGGUGUGAAAUCCCUCGGCUUAACCGAGGAACUGCGUCCGAUACUGAAAGGCUUGAAUCCGGGAGAGGGAUGUGGAAUUCCAGGUGUAGCGGUGAAAUGCGUAGAUAUCUGGAGGAACACCGGUGGCGAAGGCGGCAUCCUGGACCGGCAUUGACGCUGAGGCGCGAAAGCUAGGGGAGCAAACGGG
rnacentral:rRNA from 1 species